AGACCCGAAACCCGGUGAUCUAGCCAUGGGCAGGUUGAAGGUUGGGUAACACUAACUGGAGGACCGAACCGACUAAUGUUGAAAAAUUAGCGGAUGACCUGUGGCUGGGGGUGAAAGGCCAAUCAAACCGGGAGAUAGCUGGUUCUCCCCGAAAGCUAUUUAGGUAGCGCCUCGUGAAUUCAUCUCCGGGGGUAGAGCACUGUUUCGGCUAGGGGGCCAUCCCGGCUUACCAACCCGAUGCAAACUGCGAAUACCGGAGAAUGUUAUCACGGGAGACACACGGCGGGUGCUAACGUCCGUCGUGAAGAGGGAAACAACCCAGACCGCCAGCUAAGGUCCCAAAGUCAUGGUUAAGUGGGAAACGAUGUGGGAAGGCCCAGACAGCCAGGAUGUUGGCUUAGAAGCAGCCAUCAUUUAAAGAAAGCGUAAUAGCUCACUGGUCGAGUCGGCCUGCGCGGAAGAUGUAACGGGGCUAAACCAUGCACCGAAGCUGCGGCAGCGACACUCAGGUGUUGUUGGGUAGGGGAGCGUUCUGUAAGCCUGUGAAGGUGGCCUGUGAGGGUUGCUGGAGGUAUCAGAAGUGCGAAUGCUGACAUAAGUAACGAUAAAGCGGGUGAAAAGCCCGCUCGCCGGAAGACCAAGGGUUCCUGUCCAACGUUAAUCGGGGCAGGGUGAGUCGACCCCUAAGGCGAGGCCGAAAGGCGUAGUCGAUGGGAAACGGGUUAAUAUUCCCGUACUUGGUGUUACUGCGAAGGGGGGACGGAGAAGGCUAUGUUGGCCGGGCGACGGUUGUCCCGGUUUAAGCGUGUAGGUGUGUGUUCCAGGUAAAUCCGGUUCACUUUAACACUGAGGCGUGACGACGAGGCACUACGGUGCUGAAGCAACAAAUGCCCUGCUUCCAGGAAAA
rnacentral:rRNA from 1 species